AAGUCUUUAAGUUAAGCUAAACUGAUAGCCUUCAAAGCUAUGAAUGAAUUAAAAUCAAGUCUUA
rnacentral:tRNA from 1 species